ACACGACCCCAGGUCAGGCGGGGACACCCGCUGAGUUUAAGCAUAUCAAUAAGCGGAGGAGAAGAAACUUACGAGGAUUCCCCUAGUAACGGCGAGCGAACCGGGAGAAGCCCAGCCUGGGAAUCGGGCGGCUGUGCUGUCCGAAUUGUAGUCUGGAGAAGCGUCCUCAGCGACGGACCGGGCCCAAGUCCCCUGGAAAGGGGCGCCUGGGAGGGUGAGAGCCCCGUCCGGCCCGGACCCUGCCGCACCAUGAGGCGCUGUCGGCGAGUCGGGUUGUUUGGGAAUGCAGCCCCAAUUGGGCGGUAAAUUCCGUCCAAGGCUAAAUAGCGGCGAGAGACCGAUAGCGAACAAGUACCGCGAGGGAAAGAUGAAAAGGACUUUGAAAAGAGAGUCAAAGAGUGCUUGAAAUUGUCGGGAGGGAAGCGGAUGGGGGCCGGCGAUGCACGUCGGUCGGAUGCGGAACGGCCCCUACCGGGGCCGGACCGCCGCUCGGCUCGGCGUGCGGACA
rnacentral:rRNA from 1 species